rnacentral:rRNA from 1 species
AGGGUUCGAUCAUGGCUCAGAUUGAACGCUGGCGGAAUGCUUUACACAUGCAAGUCGAACGGCAGCAUAGAGAGCUUGCUCUCUGAUGGCGAGUGGCGAACGGGUGAGUAAUAUAUCGGAACGUGCCUAGUAAUGGGGAAUAACUAGCUGAAAGGUUAGCUAAUGCCGCAUACGACCUACGGGUGAAAGCAGGGGAUCUUCGGACCUUGCGUUAUUAGAGCGGCCGAUAUCUGAUUAGCUUGUUGGUGGGGUAAUGGCCUACCAAGGCGACGAUCAGUAGCUGGUCUGAGAGGACGAUCAGCCACACUGGAACUGAGACACGGUCCAGACUCCUACGGGAGGCAGCAGUGGGGAAUUUUGGACAAUGGGGGCAACCCUGAUCCAGCCAUUCCGCGUGAGUGAAGAAGGCCUUCGGGUUGUAAAGCUCUUUCGCAAGAGAAGAAAACUUGCUAUCUAAUAAAUAGUAAGUAUGACGGUAUCUUGACAAGAAGCACCGGCUAACUACGUGCCAGCAGCCGCGGUAAUACGUAGGGUGCAAGCGUUAAUCGGAAUUACUGGGCGUAAAGCGUGCGCAGGCAGUUUUAUAAGUCAGAUGUGAAAUCCCCGAGCUCAACUUGGGAACUGCGUUUGAAACUGUAAGACUAGAGUGUGUCAGAGGGGGGUAGAAUUCCAAGUGUAGCAGUGAAAUGCGUAGAGAUUUGGAGGAAUACCAAUGGCGAAGGCAGCCCCCUGGGAUAACACUGACGCUCAUGCACGAAAGCGUGGGGAGCAAACAGGAUUAGAUACCCUGGUAGUCCACGCCCUAAACGAUGUCUACUAGUUGUUGGUGGAGUAAAAUCCAUGAGUAACGCAGCUAACGCGUGAAGUAGACCGCCUGGGGAGUACGGUCGCAAGAUUAAAACUCAAAUGAAUUGACGGGGGCCCGCACAAGCGGUGGAUUAUGUGGAUUAAUUCGAUGCAACGCGAAAAACCUUACCUGGCCUUGACAUGUACCGAAUUUAGCAGAGAUGCUUUAGUGCUCGAAAGAGAACGGUAACACAGGUGCUGCAUGGCUGUCGUCAGCUCGUGUCGUGAGAUGUUGGGUUAAGUCCCGCAACGAGCGCAACCCUUGCCAUUAAUUGCCAUCAUUUAGUUGGGCACUUUAAUGGGACUGCCGGUGACAAACCGGAGGAAGGUGGGGAUGACGUCAGGUCCUCAUGGCCCUUAUGGCCAGGGCUUCACACGUAAUACAAUGGUCGGUACAGAGGGAAGCCAACCCGCGAGGGGGAGCCAAUCUCACAAAGCUGGUCGUAGUCCGGAUCGCAGUCUGCAACUCGACUGCGUGAAGUUGGAAUCGCUAGUAAUCGUGAAUCAGAAUGUCACGGUGAAUACGUUCCCGGGCCUUGUACACACCGCCCGUCACACCAUGGGAGUGGGUUGCAAAAGAAGUAGCUAGGCUAACCUUCGGGAGGCCGGUUACCACUUUGUGAUUCAUGACUGGGGUGAAGUCGUAACAAGGUAGCC